GCAGCAAUGACGCGGAAAUAGUUUGAAGAUGUCAGGUAGAAAUGGAAAGAGGGAGGGAGGAAACAGAGGGACGUAGAAGCGGGGCAAAAGGCUUUAAUAAACACAUGGUCACUGAGCGAGCCUCCAUCUGAAAUGUGUAACUACUCGUCAGAAAUCAGCCAAAGCUAAAGUUGUUACUGUUGCUAUCCAAACAUUCCAGACCAUAUACCAUAAUCACACCAUAAGCACAAAGGUAAACCUUUGGGAAAGGAACACUAUGACAGUAGCUACUUUGUGAUCUUAACUAUUACCAAUUGUUGACAUUUAAAUAUGAGUAUCAGUGAUUCAAUUCAUGGCUUGAAGUGUCCUUGGGAAAGACACUUAACCCCAGAUUACCCCCAGUAUGUCAUUCCAAAGAGCAUAUCAGCAGCAACAUGGUCAAACUCUGGGCUCCAGAAUUUGUGGUUCAAAUGACUGCACUCCCACACAGCACAGCACAGCAGCAGUGCACACUAAUGUGUACUGUACAUACAAGGCAAGAAAACUGGCCCCUGUAUUUGACCCAUCCCUGGGGGGAGCCGUGGACAGGAGGAGGAGUGCCCAGAGAGUGGGAAGUGUCUUGCUCAAGGAUACCUCUGGAGCCAGAGAUGGGGAUCGGACCGGAUACCUUCUGCUUACGAGGACAAUGCAACACAUUCCAUAGAAAGCCAUCCAUGUGUCAUCAGUAACAUCUGACAAGUAUUAGCUUUUUGUGGCCUCCUUAAGAAAUUGUAUUAAAGAAGGUCUGAAAUGUGAAAUGCUUAAAAACUAACCUAUGCAGGAAAGCAGAGGAUCAAUUAGAAAGUAUGUGAUGACAUUUUAUUUAGAGAAAACCGUUUACAUAGAAGAUGAGUGUCACAAUUAAUGACUAAAUAUUACAAUCAAUACAGAUCUAAUUCCUCUUGCAUCAAAACAUUUAUCAUAAGAGAUAAGCAAUAGGAGAUAUUUUAGUUGAAACUAUUUUCAUCAACAUAACAAAGGGUAAUACAAUGUAGACACAGUGAAUAAAGUAGAAAUAUGUGGUUCAGAGGACACACAAACGAAUCAACAACAUAAAUUAAAGUUGUGCAAACUGCUCUGUAUCUUAAGCAAACCAAAAACCUUCAUCUGUGCAUCAAGUACAUCUCAAGCACAAUCAAGCAGCUGGGAAAAAACAGAAUGAAAGAAGGCGUUUCAGUCGCAGCACAGAGUAUUCGCACUGGGAAACAAUAUGGAAUGUGGUAUAGCUUUUCUCUUCUGUAAAGCCAACCACACAGUUAUGUCGACUUCACAUUUCCAGGCUUCAGCAACAAGUAAAAAAUGUGUAUAUACUUAGAUAAAAGACUAUGCUAACAGCAGCUGACCUGUGCAGCCAUGGAUCAGUCAGCUAUUGGAUUUAUUGCUAACAUGCAAAAAUGUAGCACAUGAAACUUAAAAAAAGUAGUUUUAAAGAUAUGUCAAUAGCACAUUA